rnacentral:rRNA from 1 species
GACGAACGCUGGCGGCGUGCUUAACACAUGCAAGUCGAACGGAAAGGCCCUGCUUUUGUGGGGUGCUCGAGUGGCAAACGGGUGAGUAACACGUGAGUAACCUGCCCUUGACUUUGGGAUAACUUCAGGAAACUGGGGCUAAUACCGGAUAGGAGCUCCUGCUGCAUGGUGGGGGGUGGAAAUUUUCGGCGGUUGGGCAUGGACUCGCGGCUUAUCAGCUUGUUGGUGGGGUAGGGGCUGACCAAGGCUGUGACGGGUAGCCGGCCUGAGAGGGUGACAGGGCACAUUGGGCUUGAGAUGCGGCCAAGACUGAUAAGGGAGGAAGCAGUGGGGAAUAGUUCAAAACGGGCGGAAGCCUGAUGCAGCACCGCCGGGUGCGGGAUGACGGCCUUCGGGAUGUAAACCGAUUUCGUCUGUGACGAAGCGUGAGGGAGGGUAAUGGGGAAAGAAGCACCGGCUAAUUACGU